rnacentral:rRNA from 1 species
GUGAACGCUGGCGGUAGGCCUAACACAUGCAAGUCGAACGGCAGCACAGUAAGAGCUUGCUCUUACGGGUGGCGAGUGGCGGACGGGUGAGGAAUACAUCGGAAUCUACUUUUUCGCGGGGGAUAACGUAGGGAAACUUACGCUAAUACCGCAUACGACCUACGGGUGAAAGCAGGGGAUCUUCGGACCUUGCGCGAUUGAAUGAGCCGAUGUCGGAUUAGCUAGUUGGCGGGGUAAAGGCCCACCAAGGCGACGAUCCGUAGCUGGUCUGAGAGGAUGAUCAGCCACACUGGAACUGAGACACGGUCCAGACUCCUACGGGAGGCAGCAGUGGGGAAUAUUGGACAAUGGGCGCAAGCCUGAUCCAGCCAUACCGCGUGGGUGAAGAAGGCCUUCGGGUUGUAAAGCCCUUUUGUUGGGAAAGAAAAGCAGCAGGUUAAUACCCCGCUGUUCUGACGGUACCCAAAGAAUAAGCACCGGCUAACUUCGUG